GACGGAGGGUGCAAGCGUUGUUCGGAUUGACUGGGCGUAAAGGGCGUGUAGGCGGUUGGUCAAGUCCGAUGUGAAAGCCCGGGGCUCAGCUUCGGAAGUGCAUCGGAAACUAGCCAGCUGGAGCGCGAUAGAGGAGGGCGGAAUUCCUGGUGUAGCGGUGAAAUGCGUAGAUAUCAGGAGGAACACCGGCGGCGAAAGGCGGCCCUCUGGAUCGUUGCUAACGCUGAGACGCGAAAGCGUGGGGAGCAAACAGG
rnacentral:rRNA from 1 species